GGGGAAGGCCGUGUGAAUCGGCCGCGGUCCCGCCACUGUGAUCGGCUAAAGAGCCGUAAGCCAGGCCACCC
rnacentral:sRNA from 22 species